AGAGAGAGAGAGAGAGAGAGAGAGAUUGCCACAACAGGUUUCCAUAGACUGUUGUAGAGAGAGAGUGAGACGGAGAGAUUAAAAAAUAGAGAGAAUUGAAGAUCAGAUAAUGAAAGAAAGGUGACCAGUGAAUGGAGAAAAGAGAGAGAAGAUAAAUAAUAACAGAAAAAAUAUGCAAAACAAGACUAAGACAAAAAACGACAUUGUGAAGAGAGCGAGAAAGAGAGACAGAGAGAGCGAGAAAGAGAGAGACAGAGAGAGAGAGGGACAGAGAGAGAGAGAGAAAGAGAGAGACAGAGAGAGAGCGAGAAAGAGAGAGACAGAGAGAGAGAGAGAGACAGAGAGAGACAGAGAGGAGCCAGAGCACGUUGUUCGGAGUGUUCUGAGCAGACACUGUCUGGACCAUGUGCACAGGCACCAACUUGCCUACGCGGAAGGCAUUGCGAAGCGCGGCACUUCCGACCCAUAGCCUUGGUGUGCGGUCCAUAAAAGAAAACCCUCGAGGCGCAUGGCAGGCAGGCUAAGGAUAUGGACGGGGAAUCGACACGAGGAGAAGAUGAGAGGAUAUUGAUCAGCUACAACUCGACGUGGACCGUUCAACACAUGCAGUCACAAAAGGUAGGCUGGUUGAAGGGAUAAAAUGUUUUCUUUUGCUUAGGGGUUGAGCUACUUUAGUGGUGAGAAUAAUGGCUAGAUUUUCUGAAAUCUGGUUGUUC